rnacentral:rRNA from 1 species
GACGAACCGUCCAAACGUUAUUCGGAAUUAUUGGGCUUAAAGGGUGCGUAGGCUGUGCAGUAAGUUGGGUGUGAAAUCCCUCGGCUCAACCGAGGAACUGCGCCGAAUACUGCUGUGCUAGAGGAAGAUAGGGGAGUGUGGAAUUCCCAGUGUAGCGGUGAAAUGCGCAGAUAUUGGGAGGAACACCAGUGGCGAAGGCGGCACUCUGGGCCAGUACUGACACUGAGGAGCGAAAGCGUGGGUAGCGAACAGG